rnacentral:rRNA from 1 species
AGUGGCGGACGAGUGAGUAACACGUAAGCAAUCUACCCCCAAGACUGGCACGACCCCGAGAAAUCGGGGCUAAUUCCAGAUGUGGUCUCGAUUACACAUGUUUUUGGGAUUAAACCCCCCGGUUUACCGGGGGGCUUAGGGAUGAGCUUGCGGCCUAUCAGCUAGUUGGCGGGGUAACGGCCCACCAAGGCGACGACGGGUAGCUGGUCUGAGAGGACGACCAGUCACGAUGGAACUGAGAUACGGUCCAUACUCCUACGGGAGGCAGCAGUGAGGAAUUUUCCACAAUGGGCGAAAGCCUGAUGGAGCGACGCCGUGUGUGUGAUGAAGUCCUUCGGGAUGUAAAGCACUGUCAGGGGGGACGACAAUGACGGUACCCCCAGAGGAAGGCCCGGCUAACUACGUGCCAGCAGCCGCGGUAAUACGUAGGGGCCAAGCGUUGUCCGGAUUUAUUGGGCGUAAAGGGCGCGUAGGCGGCUUUGCAAGUCAGGUGUUAAAUGCAGAGGCUCAACCUCUGUCCGCACCUGAUACUGCAUUGCUGGAGAAUGGUAGAGGAAAGUGGAACUUCCGGUGUAGCGGUGAAAUGCGUAGAUAUCGGAAGGAACACCAGUGGCGAAGGCGACUUUCUGGGCCAUUUCUGACGCUGAGGCGCGAAAGCCAGGGGAGCAAACGGGAUUAGAUACCCCGGUAGUCCUGGCCCUAAACGAUGUUCACUAGGUGUAGGUGGUAUCGACCCCUCCUGUGCCGCAGCAAACGCGUUAAGUGAACCGCCUGGGGAUUACGACCGCAAGGUUAAAACUCAAAAGAAUUGACGGGGGCCCGCACAAGCGGUGGAGCAUGUGGUUUAAUUCGAUGCUACGCGAAGAACCUUACCUGGGUUUGAAAUGCUGGUAGUAGGAUCCCGAAAGGGCGACGAUCCCGUUUUACGGGAAGCCAGCACAGGUGCUGCAUGGCUGUCGUCAGUUCGUGUCGUGAGAUGUUUGGUUAAGUCCAACAACGAACGCAACCCCUAUGGCUAGUUGAUAAUCCCGAUUUAUCGGAAAUCACUCUAGCAAAACUGCCUGCGACAAGCAGGAGGAAGGCGGGGAUGACGUCAAGUCAGCAUGGCCCUUAUGUCCAGGGCGACACACGUGCUACAAUGCCGCGUACAAAGGGAUGCAAAUCCGCGAGGAAGAGCUAAUCCCAAAAAGCGCGGCUCAAUUCGGAUUGAAGGCUGAAAUUCGCCUUCAUGAAGCCGGAAUCGCUAGUAAACGCAGAUCAGCGCGCUGCGUUGAAUACGUUCUCGGGCCUUGUACACACCGCCCGUCACACCAUGAAAGCCAGAAACACCCCAAG